AAAACAUUUCGGUAGGUGAGGCUACCACAGGGAUUUGGAUUUUCCUGAGAUUGCUGCCGCGAGAUUGUGGAGACACAACAAGCUGGUUAGCAGGCUAUGUCGUGAAGGCAUAACCUAAUGCAAUUGAUAUGCCCUGUGAUGCUAAAGCUUGAACGGUGGAUUUUUAUA
rfam:Clostridium sp. D5 genomic scaffold supercont1.1, whole genome shotgun sequence.